rnacentral:rRNA from 1 species
GGCCCAGAUCGUUUACCGUGAAAAAAUUAGAGUGUUCAAAGCGGGCAGAUAUUUUUCCUGCCACCGAAUACAUUAGCAUGGGAUAAUGGAAUAGGACCCUGACCUCCUAUUUUCAGUUGGUUUUGUUUACAGCGAGGUUAUAUCAGGGUAAUGAUUAAUAGGGAUAGUUGGGGGCAUUAAUAUUUAAUUGUCAGAGGUGAAAUUCUUGGAUUUAUGAAAGAUUAACUUCUGCGAAAGCGUUUGCCAAGGAUGUUUUCAUUAAUCAAGAACGAAAGUUAGGGGAUCGAAGACGAUCAGAUACCGUCGUAGUCUUAACCAUAAACGAUGCCGACCAGCGAUUAGGAGACGUUGAAUACAAAACACCGCCGUUAAUCCUUUCGGGGGUUAAUGGUUGGUGAAUGACUCCCCUAGCAGCUUGUGA